GUGUUUUCUUCAGCAGCACAUGUACUAAAAUUGGAACAAUACAAAGAAGAUUAGCAUGACCUUGCAGAAGGAUGACAGGCAAAUUCACAGUAUUGCAUAUUUUU
rnacentral:snRNA from 1 species